rnacentral:tRNA from 1 species
GGAUAGGUAGCUUAAUGGAUAAAGCAUUAGAUUCCGAUUCUAAAGAUUAAGGGUUCGAGUCCCUUCCUAUUCA